rnacentral:rRNA from 1 species
UACGGAGGGUGCAAGCGUUAGUCGGAAUUACUGGGCGUAAAGGGUGCGUAGGCGGUUAUGUAAGUCAGACGUGAAAUUCCGAGGCUCAACCUCGGAGCUGCAUCUGAAACUGCGUAACUAGCGGGAUGGCGGAGAAAACGGAAUUCCAUGUGUAGCGGUGAAAUGCGUAGAUAUAUGGAAGAACACCUGUGGCGAAAGCGGUUUUCUAGCCUCCCCCGGACGCUGAGGCACGAAAGCAAGGGGAUCAAACAGG